AUUGAACGCUGGCGGCAUGCCUUACACAUGCAAGUCGAACGGUAACGCGGGGCAACCUGGCGACGAGUGGCGAACGGGUGAGUAAUGUAUCGGAACGUGCCCAGUUGUGGGGGAUAACUGCUCGAAAGAGCAGCUAAUACCGCAUACGACCUGAGGGUGAAAGCGGGGGAUCGCAAGACCUCGCGCAAUUGGAGCGGCCGAUAUCAGAUUAGGUAGUUGGUGGGGUAAAGGCCCACCAAGCCAACGAUCUGUCGCUGGGCUGAGAGGAAGACCAGCCCCACCGGGAAUGCGACACGGACCAGACUCCCACGGGAGGGAGCGGGGGGGAAUUUUUGACAAUGGACGAAGGGCUGAUCCAGCCAUGCCGCGUGCGGGAAGAAGGCCUUCGGGGUGGAAACCGCUUUUGUCAGGGAAGAAAAGGGCGACUCUAAUACAGUUGCCUCAUGACGGUACCUGAAGAAUAAGCACCGGCUAACUACGUGCCAGCAGCCGCAGUAAAAC
rnacentral:rRNA from 1 species